GCCAUUGAACUUCCGGGAAUGGAGGCGAAAUGGAUGAGGAAUAGAGUUACAAAGUAUGUACGCCAUAAUGCAUUAUGAAUAGGCGUGUAUUGAGAAUUGCGUGCCUACCAAUCUGCUAGUGCAUGAGGGCCGAGUGGUAUGGAGUUAUAAAGGCGAGAAUGAGACGACGUGUGUGGUCAAAAUGUUGGUGAUUUUUUAUAAAUUCAUGCGGCCUCCGCUGUAAACUCCUACGGUGUGUGAGAACAUUCUGUGGGAUCAAUUUACGGAUAUGAUUCAGAACCACAACGUGAGGAGAAUCGUCCAAGACUCUAACGAUGAAAUUCUGCUGAUGCUGCAAUUCAACACACGUUCGUGGUCUUCCGCAAGACGUAGACCGAGUGUCUUGUCUCCCUGGUGACGCUUCCUAAUUCCCGGACAGCAGCUGAGUUCAGAAGAUCUAAUUUCCCGGGCUGCCAUUCUAGGUAUGAGGGACGGAAUCGGUGCGCCCUUCUCAACUCAUCCGUGGACAGACGUAGGAAGGUUACGGAUCGCUUCAACUUGUGAAACAUCGAACAGUCAAGCACUUGUGCCUCACUGCGAGCUGCUAGGCAACCAUUGGGCUCCCGUAGUCUCCAGCUAACUGUUUGCGUUUGACCGGAUUACAGAAAUACAUGUGUAUGGGUUGGGCCAAGUAAAGGGCAGAGAGUGAAGAGGUUAGAAGGCGUGUGACAGAACUCCCGAUGCACUAGGUACCUCGGAUUUGCUGAGUUUUAUCGAGGUACUGGUUGAGCGGUAGCACAACUCUGGAUUACCACUAGGAUUUACGGUAGACAAUUUUGUAACGGCAUGAGUUUACGUGGGGGUGUACCUAGAAAAUGCAAGCCACGUAAUGCCACGGCCACGGCGACUAACCGCUCCGGUAUUACCGUGUAUGCAGAGAGAGAGAGAGAGAGAGGCUCACCUGGAUAUAUCAACGGCCAUGUUAGUCAGCCGACACAGAUGGCAAGUCCUCCUGAAUCCGCUGUGAUCGAGAAUAGAGGGAUAAAAAUGCUUCGAUAAUAAUUACGCGACAGCUACGUAAUUCGUAAAUGAGAAUAACCGUUCAAUAAAUUUUAAGGGAAGGUCCAGUGAUGAAUGUGAGCGACCAAGUAAGGUGCCUUAGAAAAUUAAUUUUUUAACAUCAUAAACCAGACAAAAGAUUGCAGCGCUGCCCGCUCUCAGCCAAGUGAACAGCACGGACUCCAGUUGAACCAAUGAAUUACCAGGAGACGUGAUAAAACUCGCUGUGAAGUAGAAAAAUAUGAAAAAUUUUAUCAACUGCAUCGUAAACCUUGGCCGGCUCCCCUUAUCACUCUCUCCUCGCCAGUGGAGACCAUAAAAUGAUAAUAUUCUCCCCUGGAAAUGUCCAGAUUUCCAUCAAUUACUCGAAAGUCUCCGAUAAUAUUGCAAAAUCUUCCCCGUGAAAGAUGAAAAUGUCGCACUUGCGGAUGGGAAAAAAAAUAACUGAGAACAUCUCGAACGAAGAGAAAUGUUGAUUCCUGUAUAUUUACACCAUGGGAUGAUACAUGCGAUCCAAUGUAAAUGCAUGUACCACGUUGACUCCAUGAGAGAAGCUGAAUAAAUGUCACGAAAUACCGUAUAGUUUCUCGGACGCUAUGGUGUAUAUUCGCAGUAUGUAUCACCGUAACCGGUCACCCCCAUACAUUCGGUGGAACGUCAGGUGGACACGUUACACCGCGCGGUGCGAGUGUACCAACAUAACUCUGGCUUGUCCCGUGAGAGAAGCAUAUACACCGUACAUACAUAACGCAAAUACCGCUUGAUAUUCAAGUUUAAAAUCCCUUUUCGCGCCUCAACAAAGAGCCACACUGACUACCCCGACUAUUACACGAUAGUAGACUAGACGAAGAAGUGGCAGACGAGUGCGGCCAGACUAUCAUACACACACGUUAACCAUGAGUUUUCGGUGUUAAAACAAGUUGAUGGACACUGGACAUUGGGUUAUAUCUGUAUGAUGAAAGCCAACGGUCUGGAGGGGGGGUGGGAAGGUUGAAAGGGGGCCCACAGCUUUGCGUCAUUUCGAUAUCACGCCUAUUCGACCGGAAGAUCAAAGGCCUUGGGUAGGCGAUGCUGGGUAAAUAUGGACACCAACAUUUAGUCACUGUGACCGGCACUUGCCGUACGAAAUUGAUUUACCCGUUCACCCUAAAAGAUAAAUAGAAUACAGUGAAAAAAAAAAUUUUGAGUGUUCACUACACCGGACAUUUUGACAUUUUAAUUCAAUUUUUAAUAUGUUCUCCUCCUUCAUUGGACUUUUACAGCC